UACGUAGGGUGCAAGCGUUAAUCGGAAUUACUGGGCGUAAAGCGUGCGCAGGCGGUUUUGUAAGCCAGAUGUGAAAUCCCCGGGCUUAACCUGGGAAUGGCAUUUGGGACUGCAAGGCUGGAGUGCGGCAGAGGAGACUGGAAUUCCGUGGUGUAGCAGUGAAAUGCGUAGAUAUCAGGAGGAAUACCGAUGGCGAAGGGCAGGU
rnacentral:rRNA from 1 species